rnacentral:rRNA from 1 species
UUUAUCCNGGUUGACCUCGGAUCAGGUAGGGAUACCCGCUGAACUUAAGCAUAUCAAUAA